GUGCUUGCUUGGGCAGCACAUACACCAAAACUAGAAUGAUACACACAAGAUUAGCAUGGCCUCUCCCUAAGGAAGUGACUUCUAGAGACAGAUUCCCUAAGUUA
ensembl:snRNA U6 U6 spliceosomal RNA